rnacentral:rRNA from 1 species
AAUGAACGCUGGCGGCAGGCCUAACACAUGCAAGUCGAACGGAUCCUUCGGGAUUAGUGGCGGACGGGUGAGUAACGCGUGGGAACAUACCCAAAGGUACGGAAUAGCCUCGGGAAACUGGGAGUAAUACCGUAUGUGCUCGAAAGAGGAAAGAUUUAUCGCCUUUGGAUUGGCCCGCGUUGGAUUAGGUAGUUGGUGGGGUAAUGGCCUACCAAGCCGACGAUCCAUAGCUGGUUUGAGAGGAUGAUCAGCCACACUGGGACUGAGACACGGCCCAGACUCCUACGGGAGGCAGCAGUGGGGAAUCUUAGACAAUGGGGGAAACCCUAAUCUAGCCAUGCCGCGUGAUCGAUGAAGGCCUUAGGGUUGUAAAGAUCUUUCAGGUGGGAAGAUAAUGGCUGUACCACCAGAAGAAGCCCCGGCUAACUCCGUGCCAGCAGCCGCAGUAA